GCGAGGCGAUAGACGAUCCGUUCAAUAUUGUUUGUAUGAAACUCCCCACUGCAACGCACACUAAGCGGAACCGUAACGUAAUCGCCUCGCCUCGGAACAGGCUACGCGUGGUCAACUAGC